UUUGAAYGCUUGACCUCAAAUCAGGUAGGACUACCC
rnacentral:rRNA from 1 species